AUUGAAUAACUUAGUGGCGGACGGGUGAGUAACGCGUGAGGACCUGUCGUACGCAGGGGGACAACAGCUGGAAACGGCUGCUAAUACCGCAUAAGCGUGUUUCGGCACGUGAAAGGAGCAAUCCGGCAUACGAGGGACUCGCGUCCUAUCAGCUAGUAGGUUGGGUAAUUGCCGACCUAGGCGAUGACGGGUAGCCGGCCUGAGAGGGCGCACGGCCACACUGGGACUGAGAUACGGCCCAG
rnacentral:rRNA from 1 species